AGAGUUUGAUACCUGGCUCAGAUUGAACGCUGGCGGCAUGCCUUACACAUGCAAGUCGAACGGCAGCAUGAUCUAGCUUGCUAGAUUGAUGGCGAGUGGCGAACGGGUGAGUAAUACAUCGGAACGUGCCCUGUAGUGGGGGAUAACUAGUCGAAAGAUUAGCUAAUACCGCAUACGACCUGAGGGUGAAAGUGGGGGACCGCAAGGCCUCAUGCUAUAGGAGCGGCCGAUGUCUGAUUAGCUAGUUGGUGAGGUAAAGGCUCACCAAGGCGACGAUCAGUAGCUGGUCUGAGAGGACGAUCAGCCACACUGGGACUGAGACACGGCCCAGACUCCUACGGGAGGCAGCAGUGGGGAAUUUUGGACAAUGGGCGAAAGCCUGAUCCAGCAAUGCCGCGUGUGUGAAGAAGGCCUUCGGGUUGUAAAGCACUUUUGUCCGGAAAGAAAUGGCUCUGGUUAAUACCUGGGGUCGAUGACGGUACCCGGAA
rnacentral:rRNA from 1 species